UAACGACGAUGUCCUGUAAACGCUUGGUCGUUAAACAUUAGUAUAAGUUGAGUCCCCGCAGGUAAAAUCAGCCUCUGCCUAAUAGCUACCCAGUAGCACACGCAUAUCCAACCUUUUUCACAAAUAUUUGGUGCUCGAUUAAAAAGUAAAUCAGACUUCCAUUGGAUAACCCUCCGUAAUAGCCAGUUUUUUAAUCCAUUAUUAUAGGAUCCCGUUCAUCUCCCUACGCAGCUUUCUUCUCUCCUUCCUUCUUACCUCCAGAUCGCAUCUCCCUUCUCUUCUCCUAUGGCUAUCCGCGCUGAAGCCUACACCUCACCGGUCGCCUUGACCCUGGCGCGUCCGCGCUGCUGCCUGCAAGUAGGCGGCCGCCUCGACUCCGUCGCGUCCGCACUGCCGUCUGCACCUCACCGGUCGCGUCGACCCGUCCACGCUGCUGCCUGCAAGUCGCCGGUCGCCUCGACACAUGGCGUCCGCGCUGCAGCCUGCACCUUGCCGGUCGCCUCCACCCCUACGCGUCCGCGCUGCUGCCUGCAAGUCGCCGGUCGCCUCGACCCCGUCGCGUCUGCACUGCCGCCUGCACAUGGCCGGUUGCCUGGCCCUAGUGCGCCCGAGCUACCGCCUGCAAUGCAUAUCGCCAUUCGCCAACACUACAUUGAUACAAAUGAUGCGCCGACAAAUACUCUUGUUCAGUGCAAAUUGGGAUGCAGAUGAUUCCGAAACAAGUGAAACUUGUACUUGAAGAAAAGUCCAAUGGCGUGGUACAAGAAGUGUCAGAAAUUAAGUGGCUUAUGUUUGGUACAUCUCUAAGUGAUAGUUCUCAUGAAAGCCAGCAUGAACAAGACUGAUGGUCCUCGUAAAUAUUUAGAAGCAUUCGAAGGAAUUGUAACCACCAAUGAAGAAUGAUAUCCAUUCAGGCAACACGAUGGUGUCCCUCGAUUGAAGAUUACUAAAUAUUAUCUUUUCUAGUUUCUCGUUUUCCAGUUAGACAUGAGAAAGUACAUUGGUCAUAUAAGCAAUGCUUUUGACUCAGAUAUUGUAUAUUUUAAUUCCAGAAUCGCAUGUCAGAAUUUUGUUAAUUUACCUG